CGGCACUGGGGGAGGCGCUCCUGCUGCUGCCGUCGGCGGCCUCGGUCGCACCCGCGUUCGACGCCGAGGGCGCCGAC
rnacentral:tRNA from 1 species